rnacentral:tRNA from 1 species
AGGAAUAUAGCUCAGUUGGUAGAGUGCUUGCCUAGCAUGCAUGAAGUCCUGGGUUCAAUCCUUAGUGUUGCAU